GAGUGGUAGCUCAAUCGGUUGAGCGCAGCACUUUGACACACACGUCUCUGCAGGCCCAGGUUCAAUUCC
rnacentral:tRNA from 14 species